rnacentral:lncRNA from 1 species
CUUCUUCUUCUUUACUUCUUCUUUACUUCUUCGUUAUUCCUCAAUCAAAAAUCAAAGAUCUCCUCCAGGCUCCAUCAGUCCGCCUCCAUCACUUCUCUCUUCAAAAUAGAGAAUUAUUCUUCCUCAAUCUCUGGUUAGUGCUUUUCUUACUUCAAAACUUAUUUUUUAUUUGCAACUUAAAGCUUCUCUUACUUUGAAACUCUGAUUUUCUUUUAAAUUGAGGAAUUUUUUAGUAUGUUUGAUUCAGUUUGUUCGAUUAGAAGCUGUCUUCAGUACGAUCUUGUUUUUUCGUUUCCAAAAAAUAGUUUGCUAAGUUUUAGUAUUUGAUGUUUGAGAUAUUUGGAAAAGUGUAAGAGUAUAUGUAAUUUUGAGGUUAUGGACUCCUGUUAUACUAGUUUUGUGCCUUACUUUGAGCCAUUUUGGUCAUUUUUGAAAUCAAAUGUUUGUUCUUCUAUUUCUAAUUUCUAUUUUCUGUUUCUUUAAAAAAAUAUUAGAUUCAAUAAGUUGAAGUAUUUGUUUUAUUCUUGAUAAAUGGGUGUGACUGCUAUAUUAAUAUUGUGUUUGUUUGUAUUCUUGAUAGACUCUUAAAUAUAUUGGACUCAUUUUUUUGUAGGAAGUUCUUGUUCUUAUGAAUUGAGAUGGAUGUAUUUUUGACGAAGUUUAAUUCUUCUCAACCGAGUUCUACUGUUAGAAACAAUUCCUCCCAUUUUAUUGAUGAGUUCGAUGAGAAAUUACUCAAUCUCGAUCCUGGAGAGAGAGUGUCCAUUGAUAAAUAUAUUCCUAGAUUCUACUCUUAGAAACAAUUCUUCCCGUGUUAUUAAUGAGUUUGAUGAGAAAUUACUCAAUCCCGAUCCUGGAGAGAGAGUGCCCAUUGAUAAAUAUAGUCCUAGAAUACGUGAUGAAGUAAGAAGACACUACAUUCAAAAUGCACCUUGCCAACCGGUUGAUCAUAAGUUUCCUAAAACUUUAUUUGGUAAUAAAAUGCGUCAAUUUAGUCCGGAUUGGUUUAAAGGUCCGUAUUCUAGAUGGUUGGAGUAUAGUGUGAAGAAAGAUGCCGCAUUUUGUUUAUGUUGUUAUUUAUCGGUAAUAAAAUGCGUCAAUUUAGUCCGGGUUGGUUUAAAGGCCUGUAUUCUAGAUGGUUGGAGUAUAGUGUGAAGAAAGAUGCCGCAUUUUGUUUAUGUUCUUAUUUAUUCAAAAAAGAUUAUGUUCAUGGAAGCGCGGGACUCUUUCACAAAAACGGGCUUUAAGACUUGGAAUAAAGAUUCGGAAAGACUUCCUUUACAUGUUGGUCAAGUAAAUAACCCCCACCACAAGUUCAACAAGAUGUUAGACUUACCAAAUCAAUCUCAAUCUAUUCAAGUUGCUUUUGAUAAGCAAUCUGAGAAACAAAGAAAUGAGCAUUGAAUUCGUUUAAAUGCAUCAAUCGAUGUUGCAAGGUUCCUCUUGAACUUUGGUUUGUCUUUUCGAGGUCAUGAUGAAAGUAAUUCUUCAAAAAACAAAGGCCUUUUCAUAGGGCUUUUGGAAUGGCUUGCAAAGAGGCUCCCUCAAAUAGAUAGAGUCAUAUUGAAACAUGUACCAAAAAAUGAUAUGAUGACUUCACCAAAAAUUCAAAAGGACAUUGUGAGUGCUUGUGCACAAGAAACCGUGAAAGCUAUAAUCAAUGAUUUAGAUGGGAAUUAUUUCGGUAUAUUAUUUGGUGAGUCCAAGGAUAGUUCACACCAUGAACAAAUGGCCCUUGCUUUACGGUAUAUUGACAAAAAAGGCCAAGUGAACGAGGUUAAUGAGUCCAAGGAUAUUUCACACCAUGAACAAAUGGCCCUUGCUUUACAGUAUGUUGACAAAAAAGGCCAAGUGAAUGAGCCAUUUAUUGGUCUUAUUCGUGUUUGUGAUACCUCCGCAAAGUCAUUGAAGGAAGCAAUACUUUCUUUGCUUAUGAAACAUUCAUUAAGUCCAUCCAAAAUACAUGGACAAAGCUAUGAUGGAGCUAGUAAUAUGCAAGGAAAAAUGAAUGGUCUUAAAGCUUUAAUUUUGCAAGAAAAUCUUUCGGCACAUUGCAUUCACUGUUUUGCUCAUCAAUUACAGUUGACACUUGUAGCGGUUGCUAAAAAACAUAAGGAGGUGGAAACUUUCUUUGCUAUAGUUGCUAAUGUGUUGAAUGUGAUUCGAGUAUCCUUUAAACGUAGAGAUAAACUUCGGGACCAGUUGGUCGGUCAUUUAGAAGUUACGCCCCGAUCCCCUAUUAACUGCUUUCCCCAUGCAUCUUUUAAACGCAGAGAUAAACUUCGGGACCAUCAAGCAUAAUUAUUGGAGCGGUUGGUAGAGAGUGGUGAAGUUCAAAGUGGGAAAGGAUUAAAUCAAGAACGAGGGCUUCAAAGAUCAGGUGACACUCGUUGGGGAUCACAUUGUAAAACAUUAGAUAACUUUCUAGUUUUAUUUUAGUCUAUUGUUCAUGUACUUUGGGUGAUUGAAUAUGAAGGUUCUGAGGCUAAUGAUAGAUUGCAACCAGAAGCUUUUUUGAGUAAAAUCAAUUCAUUUGAAUUUGUGUUCAUGCUUCACUUGAUGUUGAAGGUACUGUUGAUGUCAAACGAGCUAAGUAAAGCUUUACAGAAGAAGAUCAAGAUAUUGUCAAUGCCAUGAUAUUUCGGAAAGGUAUCAAUAAAUGAGAGAGGAGGGAUGGAAAUCAUUAAUGAAUGAAGUUUCUUUGUUUUGUGCUAAACAUGAUAUUUUGGUGCCUAAUAUGGAAGAAUUCUAUAUUCCUGGAAAGCAUAGGCCUUCUAGUGUUACUUAUUCAUAUCACUUACGUGUUGAUAUUUUUUAUACAGUGAAUGAUUUGUAACUUCAGGAGUUAAGAGUCGUUUUGAUGUUGUCAGUAGUAACUUGCUUCUUGGUAUGGCUAGCUUGAAUCUGGCUAAUUCGUUUGCUAAUUUUGAUAAGGAAAGAAUAAUGACAUUGGCCAAGUAUUAUCCAGAUGAGUUUGGUGAAUUGAAGCUUCGAGAUCUUAGUCACCAACUUGACACUUUCAUAUGGCAUAUGAAACAUGGUGACCCUAGAUUCUCGGAUUUAAAAGGAAUUGGUGAUUUGGCAAAAGCGUUGGUUAAAGCAAAUCUAGAUUCUCGGAUUUGAAAGGAAUUGGUGAUUUGGCAAAAGCGUUGGUUGAAGCAGAUCUUGUGGAGACAUAUUCACUUGUUUAUUUACUGGUGAAGUUGACUCUAAUUUUACCUGACGCGACUGCAAUGGUAGAAAGAGCAUUCUCAUCCAUGAAGUACAUCAAGGAUGAAUUGCGUAGUACUAUUAGUGAUACAUUUUUAAAUGAUUGUUUAGUUUGUUACUUUGAAAAAGAAGUAUUUGUAAAUGUAAGCAAUGAUGUUAUUAUUGACCGUUUUCAGAAUAUGAGAGCACGUCGAGUUCAAGUAUAAGUGGAUGAUGUACUUUUGUUAUAUUAGUAUCAAUUAAAGAUAUUCUAUAAUAUUAAAGUUUGUAUUUUGAUUUAAGUUGUGCCUUCUUUAGUUCCCUUUUUGAGACAACAAUAGAUUAUUGUUGUAUGUUAUGAAUUGAGGUCACUAAGCAUGUUUUACAUUUUAAGGUUUAUUCCAGUUUAGUUCAUGUGUGCGCAAGGAUGGGCAAGUUUUUUUUUUUUGGAAUACUUAUUUUUAAAUGUGUUAGUUGGUCAAUUUGGGAGUAUGAUGAAGUUGAAGUUUGUGUUCACAGGUCAAUUGGGUAAUUCACUCUAACGAUAAUGUUGCCCCCGUCAUUCUAAAAUCCUGGGUCUGCAUCUAGUUUGGAUCAUUGUUUUCCAUCGUUUUAU